AUCAUUCCUUCCUCCCGCUCGCUUCGCUUCCUUGCCCUCGCUGCUACCCCACGAAAAUUCUCGAAUCCCCCCGAACCAAAGGGCGGCAGAGGAGUCGUGCUCCGGUGACGGGCUUGGUUUCGUUCGCUUCCCUCUCGCAGUCUCGCUGCUGAUUCGCCGCCCUGUUCGCUUGUUUCUCAUGUUCGGAACGCGGUUACUCUCUGUGGGUUUCGUCGUCUGCUGUGUUUUUUUUCGUGGGAGAUCGGUGGCAUUUUAGUGGCGGAACCUGGGGCUUUUCGCACGAAUCGUUUGCAGCGGGGCGCAAUUGCUCUUGAGAUGGAAGUUGAAUUGCAUCUGUUGAUAAUUUCUAUCCCUUCCUCCCCUUUUUGGGAGAGAUUGGGGGUGCAUUCGGACCAUUUCCUUCGUCUUUUGCAGUAUGUUAUUUUGCGUUAGCCCUAUGAUUGGUUCAAUUGCAUACCCUAUUGUUGAUACACUGUUUUCAUCUGGAUUUUUUGUGCUAAUUUUGAAGGGUGAACAUCCUGGUCAAUUUUGCGCUGUGUAUAUAGUACUCCGACCAAGUCUUGUACAAGUGCAAUUCUCCAUGCACCUAAUCUCUUAGUCAAUG
rnacentral:lncRNA from 1 species